GGGCGCGUAGCUCAACGGUAGAGCAGUGGCCUUUUAAGCCAUUGGUUGCACGUUCGAAUCGUGUCGCGCCCACCA
rnacentral:tRNA from 1 species